GACGAACGCUGGCGGCGUGCCUAACACAUGCAAGUUGAGCGACGAACCAGGGCUUGCCCUGGGGCAAAGCAGCGAACGGGUGAGUAACACGUGGGUAACCUACCCCGAUAACCGGGACAACCCGAGGAAACUCGGGCUAAUACCGGAUGUGCUCACUGGACUUCGGUUCAGUGCGUAAAGGAAGCUUCGGCCUCCGUAUCGGGAGGGGCCCGCGGCCCAUUAGUUUGUUGGUGAGGUAACGGCUCACCAAGACCGCGAUGGGUAGCUGGUCUGAGAGGACGAUCAGCCACACUGGGACUGAGACACGGCCCAGACUCCUACGGGAGGCAGCAGUGGGGAAUCUUGCGCAAUGCGCGAAAGCGUGACGCAGCAACGCCGCGUGGGGGAAGAAGGCCUUCGGGUUGUAAACCCCUUUCAGGAGGGACGAAGGUUCGGCGGUGAAUAGCCGUCCGGACUGACGGUACCUCCACAAGAAGCCCCGGCUAACUACGCG
rnacentral:rRNA from 1 species